GUUCGGGCCGCACGCGCGCUACACUGACGGACCAGCGAGUUGACCUUGGCCGAGAGGUCUGGGAAAUCUUGAGAAACUCCGUCGUGCUGGGGAUAGAGCAUUGCAAUUUUUGCUCUUCAACGAGGAAUUCCUAGUAAGCGCAAGUCAUCAGCUUGCGUUGAUUACGUCCCUGCCCUUUGUACACACCGCCCGUCGCUACUACCGAUUGAAUGGCUUAGUGAGGCCUCCGGAUUUGUCUAGGCACGAGGGCGACCUUGGCUGGGACGGAGAAGCUGGUCAAACUUGGUCAUUUAGAGGAAGUAAAAGUCGUAACAAGGUUUCCGUAGGUGAACCUGCGGAAGGAUCAUUAAAAAAGAAUAUUACACACAUGAUUUGGAGACAAACACAAAUAACAACAUUUAAGUUCAACAACUUUUUAUAUCAAAAACUUUCAACAACGGAUCUCUUGGUUCUCGCAUCGAUGAAGAACGCAGCGAAUUGCGAUACGUAGUAUGACUUGCAGACGUGAAUCAUCGAAUCUUUGAACGCACAUUGCGCCUUGGGGUAUUCCCCAAGGCAUGCCUGUUUGGGCGUCGGCUUACCUCAAACCUCCCAGGUUUGGUCUUGUCCGUCGAAAAAUCAAAAGUUGUCGAAACAAGUUCCUUCAACUAUUUCUCCCUCCCCAAAUCAGGUAGGACUACCCGCUGAACUUAAGCAUAUCAAUAAGCGGAGGAAAAGAAACCAACAGGGAUUGCCUCAGUAACGGCGAGUGAAGCGGCAAAAGCUCAAAUUUGAAAUCCUUUGGGGAAUGUAAUUUGAAGAGCGGGGUGGCUACCGAGUUUUAAGUUCCCUUGGGAACAGGGCGGCCCUGGGAGGGGGGACAGCCCCCCGUAAAAAAAACUUCCCAGGCACAGGGCCCCCGGGUUCCAACCAAAUCCAAGUUUUUUUUGGGGAAAUGGCCACCCUUCCAAAGGGGGGGGGGGGAAAAAUUUCCCCUCCUAAAAGGCCUAAAAAUA
rnacentral:rRNA from 1 species